rnacentral:rRNA from 1 species
UACGGAGGGUGCAAGCGUUAUCCGGAUUCACUGGGUUUAAAGGGUGCGUAGGCGGGCAGGUAAGUCAGUGGUGAAAUCUUCGAGCUUAACUCGGAAACUGCCGUUGAUACUAUCUGUCUUGAAUACCGUGGAGAUGAGCGGAAUAUGUCAUGUAGCGGUGAAAUGCUUAGAUAUGACAUAGAACACCAAUUGCGAAGGCAGCUCGUUACACGAAUAUUGACUCUGAGGCACGAAAGCGUGGGGAUCAAACAGG